rnacentral:rRNA from 1 species
GUUCUAUAAUCGAUACCCCACGCUAAACCUCACCACUCCUCGCCACCCAGCUUAUAUACCACCGUCUCAGCUUACCCCAUGAGAGCCAAAAAGUUAGCACAACAGUCCUAAACAACUAACAAGUCAGGUCAAGGUGUAGCCAAUGGAGUGGAAGAAAUGGGCUACAUUUUCUAAAGUAGAUAUUAAACCACGGAAUUGCGCCAUGAAAUAAGGCCUAAAUAAGCCGGAUUUAGAAGUAAAUUAAGAAACAGAGAGCUUAAUUAAAAUUGGACCUGAGGUGCG